CCUGAGAAACCCGAAAGAUCGAAUGAGGAGAUUCAUCGUCAACGGGGUCGGCUUCCAUGCGGUACGCGAUGAUGUCGAAUCUUCGGGUUCGAUUCACGCUUCCGCUGUGGUAUGCGUCCGAUCACGUCGGCGUGCACUUCUCCUCUAGUAGAACGUCGCGACCCGCUGGGUGUCGGUUUAAGGACCCAGGAUCGUCGACUGUACCGUCGCUUCGGCGUUACGUGUACAGACGCUUGGAUUCCCGACCGACUGCUCGGCGGUAAACAUAAGGUAUCGAGCCGCACUCGAAUGCGUUCAGACUCGUUGCAAGCUUUAUCACGUUUUGCCCGGAUGUGCGGACCUGGUGCCGUACCUGGGAGUGAUUGGCUGUUGGUUGACGAUGUUCUCGAACCGGCUUACACUUGCUGUACAGCGAUACCGGUCGGCGACGCUAUUGCUUUGGGUACUUUCAGGACCCGUCUUGAAACACGGACCAAGGAGUCUAACAUGUGCGCGAGUCAUUGGGAUUAUUGAAACCUAAAGGCGCAUUGAAAGAGAAGAUCGGCCUUGCGUCGAUUGAGGGAGGAUGGGCUAACGUUUAACGAUGUUGCUCCGCACUCCCGGGGCGUCUCGUAGUCAUUGCGACUUGAGGCGCACCCAGAGCGUACACGUUGGGACCCGAAAGAUGGUGAACUAUGCCUGGUCAGGACGAAGUCAGGGGAAACCCUGAUGGAGGUCCGUAGCGAUUCUGACGUGCAAAUCGAUCGUCGGAACUGGGUAUAG
rnacentral:rRNA from 1 species